UUAACUGAGCAGGCUUAAAGUGAUCCUUGUCUGUCUGGUAUCUUUAAGUCAAAACAAAAACAGACUAUGUGUGUAGACGUUCUUUGAGUCAUAACUUUGGACGCGGGUUCGACUCCCGCCACCUCCACAA
rnacentral:tmRNA from 1 species